UACGUAGGUGACAAGCGUUGUCCGGAUUUACUGGGCGUAAAGAGCGCGCAGGCGGUCGAUCAAGUCGAGUGUGAAAGCCCCCGGCUCAACUGGGGAGGGUCAUUCGAAACUGGUCGACUCGAAGGCAGGAGAGGGUAGUGGAAUUCCCGGUGUAGUGGUGAAAUGCGUAGAUAUCGGGAGGAACACCAGUGGCGAAGGCGACUUCCUGGCCUGUUCUUGACGCUGAGGCGCGAAAGCUAGGGGAGCAAACGGG
rnacentral:rRNA from 1 species